rnacentral:rRNA from 1 species
ACUGGGGCGGUCUCCUCCCAAAGUGUAACGGAGGAGUUCGAAGGUUACCUAGGUACGGUCGGAAAUCGUGCUGAUAGUGCAAUGGCAUAAGCGUGCUUAACUGCGAGACCGACAAGUCGAGCAGGUGCGAAAGCAGGUCAUAGUGAUCCGGUGGUUCUGUAUGGAAGGGCCAUCGCUCAACGGAUAAAAGGUACUCUGGGGAUAACAGGCUGAUACCGCCCAAGAGUUCAUAUCGACGGCGGUGUUUGGCACCUCGAUGUCGGCUCAUCUCAUCCUGGGGCUGUAGCCGGUCCCAAGGGUAUGGCUGUUCGCCAUUUAAAGAGGUACGUGAGCUGGGUUUAAAACGUCGUGAGACAGUUUGGUCCCUAUCUGCCGUGGGCGUUGGAUAUUUGAAGGGGGCUGCUCCUAGUACGAGAGGACCGGAGUGGACG